UCUAAGCAGGAGAGAGACAGGCCUGUUCUCAGGGCGGUGCAAUCUGGAAGGAGAAGCUGACAAUCGAGCUCACAGAACAAAUUACCACUUAAGAGUAACAGUGAGACCGAAGUGGGGACAGCGCAGCGUGCUCGGACUGGUUAGCGCAGCAGCUUAACCCUGUCAGGGGGUCAGGGAAUGAAGGUCCUCUACUUGUUUGUUUAACAAAUUAUUUAUUGAGGGAGCCCUUCAAUGAGGGGUUCUCUGUUCGGCCCUGGGAUACAACGAUGAAUACAACACAGGCCUCAGGAAGCUUACAUUCCAGUGAGUAAGGCGGCGAUGAAACAAGUAGACAGAACUUCGGAACCUCAGGUUCUUGUGACACGAACAAGGAAAUGAUACAGAGAACACGGCAGAGCUGUUUAGACAGAGCGCUAAGGAAAGGAGCUCAGAGCUCACCUCCCCCAGCUGCUGCUAUCUCCAGGGAAAUAAAACCUGAAAGCUCCCAGGGGGCACCGUGAAAGGGCAGAGACCAGGCAGGAUAAGCUGAUGUCUCGUGUGACAACGGAAAGCGCUCAGGCUGGGAAAUCAGAGACCUGCACCUUCUCGUCCCGGUUCUGCCUCUGAUGCCCGAGGCCUUGGGCAAGGUCUUGGCCUCUGAGAAAGAAGCACAUCUGUGAAAUGGGCCAGAUGCUUUCUGCAGGCCCUGGGACGUGAGGGCGCUUCCCCAAGCAGGACGCAGUGCACAUUCGCUGUGACCAAGAGCCAUCCUAACCAGCCGCCUUUCCGAGAACUGCCUGACCUGCUUCUCCAACAGGGGUGGCUGCCAUGACCUAUUGACCAUGAAAGGCCGGGGCUGGCUGCACGCCCCCACUGCACCCCAUCAGAAGCUCUCCAGGUGAGGGUCAGAGGGCAGAGCCCCACCUCCAAGCCGGAACAGGAAAGAGCUCCUGAGCAGGAAGCUUCUAAACACAUUCUUGGGAUUACUCGUUAUUUUAAGUCUGUGGCUGAAGGCAGAGAGGCCUCCUAAUCCCUCGGCCGGCUGCAGGCCAUGUGAAUCCUGAUUUGUCUGACCGGGCGGCGUGCCCAGGAGCUGCCAACCCACCGGCCUGUGACGUCCGGCUGACUGAGCUGACCUCCCUGCCAGGAAGGGCCCCAGCACAAAGGUCAGCACCACAGGCCGGACCCCAGAGGAGGGACAGUGCCCUUCAGCUCGCCUUGAAGGUAUUCCAAGGAUCACAGACGUGCCACACGUGCAGCCUCCACAGAGGGUGGGCGACGGGCCUGCGUGAGCGGG